ACACUCAUAUCUCUCAAUCUCUCAUUCUCUCUCAUUCCUUGCAUAUCACCACUCUUCACUCAUUCUCUCAUUUAAUUUCCAGCAGCUAAUUAAGUGCUAGGAGCGGCGCAUCCAAGGCUCGAGGAGGACAACCGAAGCAAGCUUGAAGAGGUUUGAAUUCAAUCACUUAAGGUGGGGUUUACUUUUAUCUGUAAGCGUAGUUGUUACAUGGUUAUAAUCAUUGUUGUGUUGUGCGUCAUUCAUAUGAACUUAUGGGACCCACAAGGGGUCGGAUCCACAAGGGAUCAAAGAGCUGAACGGCCCACAAGGGGUCAGGUCCACAAGGGACCGAGACUAGUCUCACAAGAUGUCAGCUAAGUGAAAAAAAUAUAAGAGUUCAACAUGUUAUGAUUCAUUACACAAUUGGUUAUAAGUGCUUGUAGUGUUUACCCCACUGAGUGUGCUUGCACACUCAUACCCUUUUAUUUAUGAUUCUUUUCAGGUUAAGGAGUUGACGACAAGACGGCAGACAUGGAGCUCCACAUUCUCCCGUUCUAUUAUAUGAUGAAGUAUUAUAUGUUGCUGUUUUUGGUAAAUAUAUCUUGCUACUAACCAACUUAGCGUUUUCCAAUUUUGGUGGGUCGAGACUUUAUAUAUAUUGGUUUAUAAUCAUGCAUUUUGAUGACGGCUGUGACCGAAUAUAUAUAUUUUGCUUACCGUAUGU